rnacentral:rRNA from 1 species
UAGUCAGAGCCCGUUAAUGGGUGAUGGCGUGCCUUUUGUAGAAUGAACCGGCGAGUUACGAUUUGAUGCAAGGUUAAGCAGUAAAUGUGGAGCCGUAGCGAAAGCGAGUCUGAAUAGGGCGUUUAGUAUUUGGUCGUAGACCCGAAACCAGGUGAUCUACCCUUGGUCAGGUUGAAGUUCAGGUAACACUGAAUGGAGGACCGAACCGACUUACGUUGAAAAGUGAGCGGAUGAACUGAGGGUAGCGGAGAAAUUCCAAUCGAACCUGGAGAUAGCUGGUUCUCUCCGAAAUAGCUUUAGGGCUAGCCUCAAGUGAUGAUUAUUGGAGGUAGAGCACUGUUUGGACGAGGGGCCCCUCUCGGGUUACCGAAUUCAGACAAACUCCGAAUGCCAAUUAAUUUAACUUGGGAGUCAGAACAUGGGUGAUAAGGUCCGUGUUCGAAAGGGAAACAGCCCAGACCACCAGCUAAGGUCCCAAAAUAUAUGUUAAGUGGAAAAGGAUGUGGCGUUGCCCAGACAACUAGGAUGUUGGCUUAGAAGCAGCCAUCAUUUAAAGAGUGCGUAAUAGCUCACUAGUCGAGUGACACUGCGCCGAAAAUGUACCGGGGCUAAACAUAUUACCGAAGCUGUGGAUUGUCCUUUGGACAAUGGUAGGAGAGCGUUCUAAGGGCGUUGAAGCAUGAUCGUAAGGACAUGUGGAGCGCUUAGAAGUGAGAAUGCCGGUGUGAGUAGCGAAAGACGGGUGAGAAUCCCGUCCACCGAUUGACUAAGGUUUCCAGAGGAAGGCUCGUCCGCUCUGGGUUAGUCGGGUCCUAAGCUGAGGCCGACAGGCGUAGGCGAUGGAUAACAGGUUGAUAUUCCUGUACCACCUAUAAUCGUUUUAAUCGAUGGGGGGACGCAGUAGGAUAGGCGAAGCGUGCGAUUGGAUUGCACGUCUAAGCAGUAAGGCUGAGUAUUAGGCAAAUCCGGUACUCGUUAAGGCUGAGCUGUGAUGGGGAGAAGACAUUGUGUCUUCGAGUCGUUGAUUUCACACUGCCGAGAAAAGCCUCUAGAUAGAAAAUAGGUGCCCGUACCGCAAACCGACACAGGUAGUCAAGAUGAGAAUUCUAAGGUGAGCGAGCGAACUCUCGUUAAGGAACUCGGCAAAAUGACCCCGUAACUUCGGGAGAAGGGGGGCUCUUUAGGGUUAACGCCCAGAAGAGCCGCAGUGAAUAGGCCCAAGCGACUGUUUAUCAAAAACACAGGUCUCUGCUAAACCGUAAGGUGAUGUAUAGGGGCUGACGCCUGCCCGGUGCUGGAAGGUUAAGAGGAGUGGUUAGCUUCUGCGAAGCUACGAAUCGAAGCCCCAGUAAACGGCGGCCGUAACUAUAACGGUCCUAAGGUAGCGAAAUUCCUUGUCGGGUAAGUUCCGACCCGCACGAAAGGCGUAACGAUUUGGGCACUGUCUCAACGAGAGACUCGGUGAAAUCAUAGUACCUGUGAAGAUGCAGGUUACCCGCGACAGGACGGAAAGACCCCGUGGAGCUUUACUGUAGCCUGAUAUUGAAAUUCGGCACAGCUUGUACAGGAUAGGUAGGAGCCUUUGAAACGUGAGCGCUAGCUUACGUGGAGGCGCUGGUGGGAUACUACCCUAGCUGUGUUGGCUUUCUAACCCGCACCACUUAUCGUGGUGGGAGACAGUGUCAGGCGGGCAGUUUGACUGGGGCGGUCGCCUCCUAAAAGGUAACGGAGGCGCUCAAAGGUUCCCUCAGAAUGGUUGGAAAUCAUUCAUAGAGUGUAAAGGCAUAAGGGAGCUUGACUGCGAGACCUACAAGUCGAGCAGGGUCGAAAGACGGACUUAGUGAUCCGGUGGUUCCGCAUGGAAGGGCCAUCGCUCAACGGAUAAAAGCUACCCCGGGGAUAACAGGCUUAUCUCCCCCAAGAGUUCACAUCGACGGGGAGGUUUGGCACCUCGAUGUCGGCUCAUCGCAUCCUGGGGCUGUAGUCGGUCCCAAGGGUUGGGCUGUUCGCCCAUUAAAGCGGUACGCGAGCUGGGUUCAGAACGUCGUGAGACAGUUCGGUCCCUAUCCGUCGUGGGCGUAGGAAAUUUGAGAGGAGCUGUCCUUAGUACGAGAGGACCGGGAUGGACAUACCUCUGGUGUACCAGUUGUCGUGCCAACGGCAUAGCUGGGUAGCUAUGUGUGGACGGGAUAAGUGCUGAAAGCAUCUAAGCAUGAAGCCCCCCUCAAGAUGAGAUUUCCCAACUUCGGUUAUAAGAUCCCUCAAAGAUGAUGAGGUUAAUAGGUUCGAGGUGGAAGCAUGGUGACAUGUGGAGCUGACGAAUACUAAUCGAUCGAAGACU